rfam:Heterocephalus glaber contig148851, whole genome shotgun sequence.
AUCUACGGCCAUACCACCCUGAACGCGCGCGAUCUCGUCUGAUCUCAGAAGCUGAGCAGGGUCGGGCCUGGUUAGUACUUGGAUGGGAGAGAGAGUGAGAGAGAGAGAAAGAAA